rnacentral:rRNA from 1 species
UAUACAGCGAAACUGCGAAUGGCUCAUUAUAUAAGUUAUCGUUUAUUUGAUAGUGCCUUACUACUUGGAUAACCGUGGUAAUUCUAGAGCUAAUACAUGCUAAAAACCCCGACUUCGGAAGGGGUGUAUUUAUUAGAUACAAAACCAAUGCCCUUCGGGGCUCUUUGGUGAUUCAUGAUAACUAUACGAAUCGCACGGCCUUGCGCCGGCGAUGGUUCAUUCAAAUUUCUUCCCUAUCAACUUUCGAUGUUUAGGUAUUGGCCAAACAUGGUUGCAACGGGUAACGGAGGGUUAGGGCUCGACCCCGGAGAAGGAGCCUGAGAAACGGCUACUACAUCCAAGGAAGGCAGCAGGCGCGCAAAUUACCCAAUCCCGACUCGGGGAGGUAGUGACAAUAAAUACUGAUACAGGGCCCUUUCGGGCCUUGUAAUUGGAAUGAGUACAAUUUAAAUCCCUUAACGAGGAACAAUUGGAGGGCAAGUCUGGUGCCAGCAGCCGCGGUAAUUCCAGCUCCAAUAGCGUAUAU